rnacentral:rRNA from 1 species
CGCCUGUUUAACAAAAACAUCUUUUCUUGUUAGUUUUUGAAGUAUGGCCUGCCCACUGACUUAGAGUUGAAGGGCCGCGGUAUUUUGACCGUGCAAAGGUAGCAUAAUCAUUAGUUCUUUAAUUGUGAUCUGGUAUGAAUGGCUUGACGAGACAUAGGCUGUCUUAGAGGUAUUGGUUUAUUGAAUUUGGUUUUUGAGUUAAAAUUCUUAAAUGUUUUUAUGGGACGAGAAGACCCUAUAGAGUUUGACAAUUUUCCUAUUUAUUCGUUGUUUGUAUUUAUUUACAUUGAGUGGGAGUGAAUUGUUUUGUUGGGGUGAUGGGAGGAAUAUUAUUUAACUCCUCUUUGUUUUUAUAUAUUUAUGUAUAUAUUUUUGAUCCAUUUAUUUUGAUUAUAAGAUUAAAUUACCUUAGGGAUAACAGCGUUAUCUUCCUUGAGAGUUCUUAUUGGCGGGGGGGUUUGCGACCUCGAUGUUGGAUUAAGGUGAAUUUUCGGUGCAGGAGCUGAAAGUGAUUAGGUCUGUUCGACCUUUAAAAUCUUACGUGAUCUGAGUUCAGACCGG